rnacentral:rRNA from 1 species
UACGUAGGGGUGCAAGCGUUGUCCGGAAUUAUUGGGCGUAAAGAGCUCGUAGGCGGUUUGUCGCGUCUGCUGUGAAAACCCGAGGCUCAACCUCGGGCCUGCAGUGGGUACGGGCAGACUAGAGUGCGGUAGGGGAGAUUGGAAUUCCUGGUGUAGCGGUGAAUGCGUAGAUAUCGAAGGAAGCACCAGUGGCGAAAGCGGCUCUGGGACCAUACUGCGUGAGACGAAAGCUAGGGGAGCAAACAGGAUUAGAACCUACCGAGUCAGACCAAGCCAU